CAUGCAAGUCGAACGAUGAUCCCUGGCUUGCUGGGGGGAUUAGUGGCGAACGGGUGAGUAACACGUGAGUAACCUGCCCUUGACUCUGGGAUAAGCCUGGGAAACUGGGUCUAAUACCGGAUACGACCAUCUGGCGCAUGUCAUGGUGGUGGAAAGCUUUUGUGGUUUUGGAUGGACUCGCGGCCUAUCAGCUUGUUGGUGGGGUAAUGGCCUACCAAGGCGACGACGGGUAGCCGGCCUGAGAGGGUGACCGGCCACACUGGGACUGAGACACGGCCCAGACUCCUACGGGAGGCAGCAGUGGGGAAUAUUGCACAAUGGGCGCAAGCCUGAUGCAGCGACGCCGCGUGAGGGAUGACGGCCUUCGGGUUGUAAACCUCUUUCAGUAGGGAAGAAGCGAAAGUGACGGUACCUGCAGAAGAAGCGCCGGCUAACUACGUGCCAGCAGCCGCGGUAAUACGUAGGGCGCAAGCGUUAUCCGGAAUUAUUGGGCGUAAAGAGCUCGUAGGCGGUUUGUCGCGUCUGCUGUGAAAGACCGGGGCUCAACUCCGGUUCUGCAGUGGGUACGGGCAGACUAGAGUGCAGUAGGGGAGACUGGAAUUCCUGGUGUAGCGGUGAAAUGCGCAGAUAUCAGGAGGAACACCGAUGGCGAAGGCAGGUCUCUGGGCUGUAACUGACGCUGAGGAGCGAAAGCAUGGGGAGCGAACAGGAUUAGAUACCCUGGUAGUCCAUGCCGUAAACGUUGGGCACUAGGUGUGGGGGACAUUCCACGUUUUCCGCGCCGUAGCUAACGCAUUAAGUGCCCCGCCUGGGGAGUACGGCCGCAAGGCUAAAACU
rnacentral:rRNA from 1 species